ACACUUACUACCCAGGAACCAAAAAAAAAUAAAAUAAAUUGUUACACGGUGUAAUAAAACACCUCUCUGCGAAAACCCUCCUCCUCAGUUACAUCACAAAGGACACACGCCUUCUAAGGGCAAAAGCUGCCUGUUUCCACGCCCUCACAUUCAAACUGAAAACUGCGCGCCAAGGUUUUGCAGCAGAAUAGAUUUGGAAUGAAAAAGGUAGGAUGUUUUAUUCAUCUUCUCAAAAUACACCGUUUUUAGCACAACGUAUGCACACAAAGGCAUUAAAAUAUGUUGAGUUACGCCUUAAAUAUGAAUAUGAAUAUCUUCUUCUGUUAAGUUGUAUUAUAUACUGUUUUUUUUUUUUAAGUGUAGCUAUCAUUUCAAAUAUUAGUGAUGCUUAAUCUCUACCUUUGUCUCGUUUUGUUGUUCAAACGUAUAUUUUAAUUAUUCACUUUAUGUGCAGCGUAGUAUUUAUGCUGUACUGUGUGUGCAAGUUGUUCACAGUGAACAUUCAGUUACACAUAAUUUAUAAUUGAUUUGCUGUUAAAAAUGAUAAUACAAAAUAUAAUAAACUUACCAGGCAUGUCAGCUGAAGUUAUGCUACUGUACUAUGUCUUAAGCAAAUAUUGGUAACAGAAUAACAAGGUUGGUUACUCUAAACUAAAUUAUUAAUUUACCAGCUGGUAAGACUACUGUAGUUAAAACACAGAGGCCUUAAAGGCAGAUUUACAGUGGGUGUUUAUAAUGGGCACUUGCCUGGCAGGCUGGUUUAUAAUGGGCACUUGCCUGGCAGGCUGGUUAAUAAUGGACACAUGCCUGGCAGGCUGGUUAUAAUGGGCACUUGCCUGGCAGGCUGGUUUAUAAUGGGCACUUGCCUGGCAGGCUGGUUAAUAAUGGGCACUUGCCUGGCAGGUUGGUUUAUAAUGGGCACAUGCCUGGCAGGCUGGUUUAUAAUGGGCACUUGCCUGGCAGGCUGGUUUAUAAUGGGCACAUGCCUGGCAGGCUGGUUUAUAAUGGGCACAUGCCUGGCAGGCUGGUUUAUAUUGAGCACAUAUGUCUGGUGGCAUUUGAUGGGCACUGUGUUAAUGUUUGCAUAAGGCUAUUCUCUAUGUUUUAUUCUUAGGAGGUGAAUUGAUGAUGUACGUUAGAAGGUUCCUUUAAAUGUGGGUCGAAAUCCAACUUUUCUGAGUGAUUUGUUACGGAAUGACACACAUCACUGAGAAAUUGUUUAACGUUUUUUUUUCUUCCUUUUAGUGAGAUAAUGGAACGUUUCUGGAUCUCAUCACUUGAAGACUCUCUGCGCAAGGAGUCUGGCGCACGUGUGCAGAGAACGAUACAUAUUGUAAAACGAGAUUCAAGAGAGGAUUUUAUGCAAAAUCACUUGACAUGUCUUAAGGAGAAUGGAACUGGCACAUUUGUAGCUAUCAAAAAAAGGGGAAAAUCACUUUCAGUGGCGAUGUGAAAGGUCCAAUAAACCAAAAGGUGUGUCAUGGUAGAUAGGGACAUGAAAGAAAUCAAUGCAGUACACACAGUAUUUCCUUAUGCAAAGGUGUUGCUGUGCUGGUUCCAUGUUCUUCAGGCGGUACACAGUUGGAUUGUCCGACGUGAUGGAGGAUGCAGUCAGAAUCUGUCUGCAAAAAAUGAAGUGAUUAGGUCUAUGAUUGCCUUAAAACAAUGCAGUACAGACCAUUGGUUUCGAAAUGCAGACAUGUGGGCCAAUUUUGGAUGGAGAGUUUACCACCAAGACAGUGAAACGAACAACCUUGUUGAGAGAUUUUUUUUCAGCAUGAAGUAUCAGUUUCUUCAUGGCUAUGCAAACAGACGAGUUGAUGAACUACUUCUACUACUUAAUACCAAGGUGGUCACUUACUACAGGUAUCUGGAAGAUCUUCAUGGUGCUCAGAGGAUUUCUGAUUCCAAAACACAGGAUACUGCAGAAUCUGCAUUACGUAUGAACAACAAAGGCCUUCAAAAUAAUUUUGUUUACAAAUCAGGUGGCCAUUGCACAGUGCCUUCAGAAGCAGAUAAAGCAAAAUGUUAUGCUGUGGAUUUAAUUAGCAUGAAAUGUGAAUGCGCCGUUUCUGAAAGGGGUAAUUUGUGCAAGCAUAUUGAGUUUGCAAAAAUUAUGUGCAAAGAACAGGGGAUUGAUAUUGAUGGAAUUCGAAAAGAAUUAGCCAGUUCACUAAAUGAACAGCAUUGCUAUGAGUGGGAUGGAAAACAUUUAAUUGUACAUUGUGCUGGUAGUUUUGGAGUAGUACACAUGCUAAACCAACAGCGUACCUGUCUUGCCAAUAGUCUUGGAGAAAUAUGUGUCUGUCUAAGACUUUCUGAGUAAAUUGGUACACAGAACCCUAACCAAGAGGUAACUGACUGCUUUGCGAAUACCACAGCAAAUUGUCAAUCACACAAUAAACAGCUGUGUGUAAAGAAGAUGAUUUCAGACUUAUAGGAGUGGUGUGACAGCAGUGAUUAUAAGGAAUCUCCAGAGUUGAAUGCUGUAGUAAAACGUGCACACCAACUAGCAUCUGGACAGUAUAGCAUGGCCAGCAAUAAAAUAAAAAUGAUAAGGCUGCAUGCUUACAGAAAACGCAUUGAAAGAGCAAGAAGCUAUGCUAUAGACAUGCAUUCAUAUCAGCUCAAAGAACCCCUUAAUCGAGCUUUAUAUACCCAUAGACCUGAUUCCAAAUUCAAAGUCUGUUCCUUUAGAAAAAGAAUAACUGGUAGCAGAACAAAGAAUCAGAUACUAAAAUCGAGCUGAACGUGUGCUGUUAUGAGCCCGUGCCUUUAUUUUUGAAUUAUAGAAAGCACACAAAACUGGACUAAGUAUAGAGGUUAAUUACAACUGUUAAGGACCUCAAAGGUCUCUUCAAGUAAGAGUGAAAUAGCUAUUUAUAUUUAUAGUGGCAGCAUGUUAUCAAAAAUAAAAUAUAUGUUGCAUAGUUCCAAUUGCUGAUGAUUGUAUUCUGGCCAAGUUGGUCGAUAUUUGAUAUGGUAUGUCUCCCUUUUCUCUCUUAAUCAGAUUACUUAAAUAAAACUUAAAAUAUGCAUUAUUGUAACACUUUGUAAAUAGAAGUUGUAAAAAUAUGAUUUGUAGUACAUAGAAAGUGCAAGUGCAAUCUUUUAAGUAGCGAGUAGUGUAAAAGCCAAUUGUUAACAUAAAAAUCUAAGCCUGAACUGAAUUUCUUUCGAAGGGGGAACAUAUCAGGGUGUCAUUACAGCUGAGAAGUCGGGAGGGUUCUUCUGUACAGCACUUUUUUCCACAAUUGGGCCCAGUACUUUGUAUUGCUCUGUAUCAGUCUGCUGAAGCAUGUAUGUGCAGUUUUACAUUUUAAUACUGGUAAUAUUUAAACCAUAAACAAAUAA